GUGAGAUUGCCAGGUGAGGGGCCAGCACGGUGAUCUCUGCCUGUGCCUCACAGCUUUCCCUACUCCAUCUCCAUCAUGAUGUAGAGAAUUUUCCAGGUGUUUUUUUGACUACUCUAGGAUCUAAGGGAGACACGUGAAGCUGAAAAAAGGAAGUGUCGCACUCACAGGUUGACACCCUGCCAGCAAUCAUAACAAACCCUGAAAUUGGUAUUUUCACCCUCAUUUGGAUGAUCAGGCCAACGUAAAAUCGGUGUACUCAGAUCAAUUGGCAUUGCUGGAAUUGAAAAGACUGAUUGUCAACCACAUAUGGUGCCCAUUUGUUCACGUGGACAGACUCCAGACAUUGCACCAGUGCUGUUAUGCAGACCACCCUCACGGAGGUGGCACAAGAUUUUCCAUGGGAAAGACUUGCUGCCUCUUCUUCCAACACUUUUAUGACAGCCAGAUGGGAGAUGCAGUUCAUCGCUGAAACCUGAAGGAAAGCGUUAGAAUCUACUGUGUGUGUACAUCUAGGGGCAGUUCUGCAGUGCUUUUGCUGGGGCGUUCCAAAAGAACUUGAAUUACAAUGGAAC
rnacentral:lncRNA from 1 species